AUCCUAAAAAAAAGUAAUAUAUAAUUUUCGAUUUGAUCAAUUAAAAAAUUGCUAAAUAAAACAAAAAAAAACUUUAAUCCUUUUGAUCUUGUCACAUCAUAUUGUAAUAAUGUAAUCAAUAUCUGUCAAGUAAUACCAGUUAACCGCUUUCGACUCGCGAUAUUACAUUACGCCAUUCGCACUCGUUAGAAACUUAACACAUGUCUCGCGUUUGAUUUCUUGAAUGAAUGAUUGCCCAUCGGAUAUAAGCGGAACCAAUAAAACACCAAUCAUAGAAAUGGUAUGCUGGUAUUAUUAGCAAUAUCCUGUCUUAUGAAUGCAUCCAAGUGAUGUCCAAGAGAAAUAUCUUUUCUUUUUCUUUUGCCAGACAGUUUCAGCAAUGUAAUUACGAGUUACGAAAUAAACCUGAUAUUGCGCGACACUAAUUCCACCUGUGUGCCUUUCUGCGGACUUUUAGGGGCAUGCGUGUAGAAAAGCUGAUCGAACGAAAAAAUCGAAGGUUGUGAGAUGGAGCGGAUAACAGUACUUCGAUGGUUCGUUUCGCAUACUGUUUCAACUGGAGGCACGAACCGUUACAAGAAUAUGAAAAGUCUGACGAAUCGUGAAGAUUCGUAUAAACAUUUUUUCGUGAAAUAAAAAUCGAAAAAUAUAAACAAUUUAUUCGAAAAAAAA